GGCGGGACACGUGGUAUCCUGUCUGAAUAUGGGGGGACCAUCCUCCAAGGCUAAAUACUCCUGACUGACCGAUAGUGAACCAGUACCGUGAGGGAAAGGCGAAAAGAACCCCGGCGAGGGGAGUGAAAAAGAACCUGAAACCGUGUACGUACAAGCAGUGGGAGCCUCUUUUAUGGGGUGACUGCGUACCUUUUGUAUAAUGGGUCAGCGACUUAUAUUCUGUAGCAAGGUUAACCGAAUAGGGGAGCCGAAGGGAAACCGAGUCUUAACUGGGCGUUAAGUUGCAGGGUAUAGACCCGAAACCCGGUGAUCUAGCCAUGGGCAGGUUGAAGGUUGGGUAACACUAACUGGAGGACCGAACCGACUAAUGUUGAAAAAUUAGCGGAUGACUUGUGGCUGGGGGUGAAAGGCCAAUCAAACCGGGAGAUAGCUGGUUCUCCCCGAAAGCUAUUUAGGUAGCGCCUCGUGAAUUCAUCUCCGGGGGUAGAGCACUGUUUCGGCAAGGGGGUCAUCCCGACUUACCAACCCGAUGCAAACUGCGAAUACCGGAGAAUGUUAUCACGGGAGACACACGGCGGGUGCUAACGUCCGUCGUGAAGAGGGAAACAACCCAGACCGCCAGCUAAGGUCCCAAAGUCAUGGUUAAGUGGGAAACGAUGUGGGAAGGCCCAGACAGCCAGGAUGUUGGCUUAGAAGCAGCCAUCAUUUAAAGAAAGCGUAAUAGCUCACUGGUCGAGUCGGCCUGCGCGGAAGAUGUAACGGGGCUAAACCAUGCACCGAAGCUGCGGCAGCGACACUAUGUGUUGUUGGGUAGGGGAGCGUUCUGUAAGCCUGUGAAGGUGUGCUGUGAGGCAUGCUGGAGGUAUCAGAA
rnacentral:rRNA from 1 species